UUGAAUCACCUCUCGUUGGCCAGACAGAAAUAGCAGCCGUUCACUGCAUGUUGACGUUGGACUGGCUCAGGAGUCUGGCUCCUCAAAAUGUGAAGUUUACGAGCAAUAAACCUAUGCUCCUUUCAGAAAGGUGAAGAGGAGGGAGCUGUUCCCAGGGUCUUCUACAGAAAAAGACUUUUUGAGAUCAGAUUCUGAAGGAUUGCAAAGCUGUAGGAACAAGCGAUCCCUAGAGAACCCAUUACUGAUUCUGGGCCCCGAUAAAGGAUCAGUUUCAUGCAUAAGCGAACAAACAACAGGCAGGCAAGAAACAAUGAAGGUUAUUAAAAGGUAUAAUGAGAAUGGCAUAGUGUCGGCUAUCUCAUUAAAGACAGUUGCACUUUUUAGGAGUUAUCUCCACUUGUGCCCUCAACCCACAUCUUCUGAAGAACUCUCAUGUACUGAGUCGAUGCAGCAAUUACACCUUCUUUAGACUUAAGGUAUAAUGACUUUCAAAAUUUUAAUCACAAGAUGAUGUGCAUUCUGGCCAAGUGGGAAAAACAACAACAAUGCGGAAAAAAAAUGGAAAUGUAAAAGCAUCCUAAUUUAGGAACGAUAAGGACCACAGACUGGAUAGGUUUCCAACCGACAUAUAAUACCAGCAACCGUCCUGAUAUCACAUCCUUAAAUUAACACACGCAUUUGACAUGAUCAGAUUAUGUGAAGCAUUAUGAAGGAGGUUUAUAUUUUAUAAUAAAUCUUUCCCUGCCACA